ensembl:misc_RNA Metazoa_SRP Metazoan signal recognition particle RNA
GCCGGGCAUGGUGGCGGGUGCCUGUAAUCCCAACUACUCAGGAGGCCGAGGCAGGAGAAUCACUUGAACCCAGGAGGUGGAGGUUGCAGUGAGCCAAGGUCGUGCCACUGCAUUCCAGCCUGGGUGACAGAGUGAGACUCUGUCUCAA